rnacentral:rRNA from 1 species
AAUCUUCCACAAUGGGCGAAAGCCUGAUGGAGCAACGCCGCGUUAGUGAAGAAGGUUUUCGGUUCGUAAAACUCUGUUGUAAGGGAAGAAUAAGUACAGUAUUAACUGGCUGUACCUUGACGGUACCUUAUUAUAAAGCCACGGCUAACUACCUUACAGCGACUGCGGUAAUACGUAGGUGGCAAGAGUUGUCCGGAAUUAUUUUGCGUAAAGCGCGCGCAGGCGGUCCUUUAAGUCUGAUGUGAAAGCCCACGGCUCAACCGUGGAGGGUCAUUGGAAACUGGGGGACUUGAGUGCAGAAGAGGAAAGUGGAAUUCCAAGUGUAGCGGUGAAAUGCGUAAAGAUUUGGAGGAACACCAGUGGCGAAGGCGACUUUCUGGUCUGUAACUGACGCUGAGGCGCGAAAGCGUGGGGAGCAAACAGG